AUGGUACUUGCUUCAGCAUAUACAUUAAAAUUGGAAUGAUAAAGAGAAGAUUAGCAUGUCCCCGUGCAAGGAUGACAUGCAAAUUCAUGAAGCGUUCUAUACCUUU
rnacentral:snRNA from 1 species